rnacentral:ncRNA from 1 species
CCUGUGGAGCGUCAUACUCAAACCGCGAGUAGCCUUGGCAAAAGCGGACGCGUUGAAGCAGGAA